UUGGAAUGAGAACCCAUCAUUUUUGCACAAAGUGCACCAGUACCACCCCAGUCACAUACCUUAACUCUUAAUUAUUACAAAUGCAGCAGCCAUUACAGGAAUAACGCCUCUUUUUCUUCAAAGUUGUCUGAGAAGAGCAUAGGACAGAUUCUUCAAGUUCUGCUAAAUAUACCCAGUGCUAUCUCAUACACAUUCUACCUUUCUGAGACAUUUUAGGGUGCCUUAUGCUGCAGUUGCUUUAAUACUUGGUGUUACACCUCCAAGAAUAGGCAGGAUAGGAAAAUCUCCACACCAAGAAGAGUGUCCUUCUCCUUCCUCCUGCCCCCGUUCCUCCUGCCAGAAGUAUUUUCUCAGAAUGGGAAAAACCAUACAUAUUAACACUGCCUCAGACUGCAUUACCAGAGGAAAGUGCCUUUUGAACCAUGAAUUCCUGAUACUGAAGAUCAUCCGCCAGAAAAAGCCUUCAGCUUUACCUCUGACAUUCAAAGCUUUUGUUUAUUCCACUAAGCGUGCAUGUAAUUUUUUUAACUCAGAGAAAUAGAAGACAAAUGUUGUCUGAUGCCUACCCAAUGGAAUAAAGAAGAUGGGAGAGGCUAAAAGGAUGUUUAUGCUGUUCUGUGUUAAAUUGAAAUGAUAUUCUGGUAUUUCCUCUCAGUUUUAACACCAUGAUAGCAAUAAAAUAGCUGGAGCCUCAGUAUUUCUCCUCUCUUCAGCUUGGGGCUGUGGCUGCAUCCUAUCUGUAGCAUUUUAGCUGCUCAAAAUGAUCUUCAAAACCAGUUUGUCUAAAUCCUUACUGGUUUUGUGUCCUGCCCCUCACCUGUAUGAUCAGAAGCUUGUUUUAUUUAGCCCAUUAUAUACCAGACCUGUUUGGCAGAGGGUAUGCUCUGCAUGAAGAGGGAAUCCUUACAGAAUUUCUGCAUAAACUCUGAUUUAUUGUCAGAAUAGGCUGAAAUAAGUCACCCUCAAGCCAGAUAUGAGCAAUUACAUACAAAUAAGAAAUAUUCUAACCCAGUUAAGUUAAAAAUCACUCUAUUAAACCAGUGCAAUUUUCCUUCUAGACGAGGCCUACUAAAAUUUGCUACGCUGUUUUAAAACUAUUUUUUAAUACUUUGGGGCAAGCAGCUUAUAUAUCCAGUGUGUGGCUAAUAUUAAUGGCAGAGCAGUAAAUCCCUCACCAGGGAGUUUGUGGAAGUGCUGAUAUAUCCAUUACCAGCACUGGAAAGUGCUGCCAGGCUCUUCUGUAAUUACAGCUUCUUCAAAGGCAGAGUACAUCAUUUGGUCUGCAGAGAGAAGCAGUGAAAGCCAACACAAGAGGAGACUGACUGAUUUCAGAAGUCCUGGUGCCAAGGGCAUGAGUACUUUGGUAUCCUCACACAGGUCCCACUGCAGGGGAGAAGAGCAAAUACCCCUUCCUACCUUUUCCACCGCUUUCCUGCUCUUCUUCCUCCUUUGUUACACCCACUUGUUCUUUUGCAACCCAUGUUUCCCCAACACCCAUUAACACAACAGUCAUGCCAUCCCUCUAUAUAGCAUUUCCAUCUGUAACUCUCAGAGUGUUUUGCAAAAGGCAAUAAACAAGCUGCUUCCUCCACCCAAGGUCACCCAGAAGGUCAGUGCUGAGCCCAGGAACUGACCCCAACCCCUCAGGACCCGCACCAAGGAUAGGACAUGCUGUACCACUCACAGCCACCUGUUAGGGAACACCACAGCCUGAGGAAGAGCUGAGCUCUUACAGGGUGCUUGACACUACUCCUAAUCAUGUAAAAAUAAUGAAAACUAUUUUCUGUCCAUUUGAGGCACUUGCAAAUUACCAUUCACUGUCAUAUCUAAGUGCCAAACACUAUCAGGCAUACUGACAGGCUUUGAAGGCUUCCAAGAUGAGGUGGUAUUAAUACAAGCCUGUCUCACUACAGUACCACAAGAAUUAUACAGUAGAUACUGAAAUGUUGGGCUCUGUGAGUGUAAUUUUGUUCCUUGCAAUUGGUAGGAACAGAGCCUCGGAUUGGAGCAAGACUGCUGUGACAGGAUUAUUCAGCUCAGCACCAUCACACCCCUGUGGGGUCAUCCAACAUAAAGAUGUUUUGGUCAUGUCCCACAACUCAAGGGCAGUGGGUAACAUCGCACAACAUCCCCAGGAAUAAGUAGCUGCUCCCAGAUGAAUGUCUGGCUUUCUGCUGACAUGACAUUCAGAUGAAUUUUGGUAUUACAGACCAGAUAAAAACAU